AUAAUAAACGGUUAGCUUUAGUUUAAUUUUUUUAAUUUUUUUUUUCUGAUGAAAACUUUUUUUAUAGCUCUGUAUAGUUUUUUAUUUUGCAAAAAAUUUAUGGCAAAUGAAUUAAAGUUAAGUUUAACACCGAGUGAAAGCCUAAACGAUUUGCUUCAAAAAAGUAACGAGCUUAACAAAAAUGUAGAAAAUUCUCUAUUCGAAACAUAUGAUAAAGCUUUAUCUUUAUAUUAUAACAAAUUUUUAUCUCAAACUACUACACAAGGUUUAUCCUUUGAAGAACAAACAAGCCAAGGGUUUGCAAAUGAUAGCACUUAUUUGUUAGAAGUUACCGACAUUACUCUUACGCCAAUACAUCAAAAUAGUACCGACAUAUUUCAAACCGCGACAAUAGAUUCUACGUUAAUUGAAUUGUUUUCAAGCAAGAUCCCUAGGGAAAAUUCAACUUUAAUUAAUGUUUAUGAUAGUAUUUCAUUUAUUUGGAGUAAUGCAGAAUCUCAAGCGACAUUAUCUAAUUACACAAUGAUACCAGGUAUAGAGCUUGAUUCAUCGUUAGUUCCAGGUUUUGUUUCAACAUUAUCACAAAGCGUUGCCGAAUUCCUUUUUACAAAUGAAAAUAACACAAACAUUGUAUACGAAACUGUUACUCCAAGUUUCUCUUUAAUUUCUCAAUCAAUAUACUACAGCGUCGAAAGUAGUUUUUUUGAAACCGCUAUUCAAGAGGUCGAAACUUCUCUUGUUCUUAGUUUGUCAAACUAUAACAGCGAUAUUUCAGACGUCGACAAUUAUAAAAUAACCCCUACCAACAAUAUAAAUUUCUCGACGCCCAUUCCAACUUGGUUUAAUACCAACUAUAUGUAUGAUAAUAUUAGUAGUAAAAUCAAUUUGAAUCAAUUUUCAGAAAACGUAUCAUUAUUAACCUUAGUGCAAAAUGUCACCAAGAACGAGUCCGAUUUUGACGUCAAAACAACUAUAUACAAAACAAUUAUCUACAGCUUGUUUAAUUGUGACAUUUAUAACUUCACCGGUUAUAAUAUUAGUGAAUAUAACAUGACAUGGAAUAGAAAGUGUGUUGACAAAGGUGUUGAGAUUCCAUGGUACAAAAAUCCAAUUAUAUAUUACAUUGGCGGUGGCAGCAUAACUGGUUUAAUUGUUCUCUUUAUAUUGAAAUCAUUGUGCAGUAUUUGCAAUAAAUACUCUGGUGAAUAUAUACCCCCACGGCAUAAACUUCCUCCAAGAAGAAGAAAUAAAGAAGCAUGGGUUUUAAGGCAUAUCGAUAGAUUUCCCAACAAAAGUGUCACCACAUAAUAGUAGAAAGAAGUAUGAACUUUAAUCAAAAAGAAUGUAUUAAAUUAUCUAAGUUUAAAAAGCAUUUAACGAGAAACUUCACUUUCUUACCAAAUGGUGCUUUUAUGGGUGGAGCAAGCAUCGAAUAUUGGACUUGGAUUCAAAAGCUAGCGCUCUAAACACUGCGUCAUGGCUGCUCAAAACCACAUAUAUUAAUAUACAACUAAAAUAUAUUUUGCGUAA